GGAGCUCACAGCCAGGAAGAAAGAUGUUGUUUCAAGCAACGGGCAGUGAGUUCUGACAGAGACAGCUGGAAAAAUAUGAAAAAGACCAUGCUUUUCUGUGUGAUGGUAUUAAAAGGUGGUGCCUUUGGGAGGUAAUUUGAUCUUCAGGAUGGAGCCCUCAUAAAUGGGAUUAGCACCCUUGUAAAUGGAACCUCAGAGAGCUCUCCUGUCCUCUUCUACCAUGUAAGGAUACAUCAAGAAGACAGCAAUCGGAAGCCUGGAAGAGGGCACUCAGCAGAAUCCAACCAUGCUGGCAUCCUGAUCUCAGACCUCCAGCCUCUGUAACUACAAGAAGUAACUUUUUAUUCUUUAUAAAUCACCCAGCUUGUGCUAAUUUGUUAGAGCAGACUUAACUAUUCUUUCCCCCACUGAAUUGCCUUUGUACCUCUAUCAGCAAUUAGUUGUGUAUAUAUGUGUUGGUCUAUUUCUGGGCACUUUAUUCUAUUCCAUUGAUCUGUUUGUCUGUAUUAAUGACAAUAUCUCACUGUCCUGAUUUCUGUAACUUUAUAAUUAAAGUCUUGACACCAAGUAGUGUCAGUCCUCUAUAUUGUUUUUUUCUCAAAAUUAUUUUGGCUAUUCUAAGUCCUUUGCAUUUCCGUAUGAUUAUUUAUUUAUUUGCUUUCCACCUUGGUUGAAUGCCAUCCAUAU
ensembl:lncRNA novel transcript